CCUACGGGUGGCAGCAGUCGAGAAUCAUUCACAAUGGGGGAAACCCUGAUGGUGCGACGCCGCGUGGGGGAAUGAAGGUCUUCGGAUUGUAAACCCCUGUCAUGUGGGGGCAAAUUAAAAAGAUAGUACCACAAGAGGAAGAGACGGCUAACUCUGUGCCAGCAGCUGCGGUAAUACAGAGGUUUCAAGCGUUGUUCGGAAUCACUGGGCGUAAAGCGUGCGUAGGCUGUUUCGUAAGUCGUGUGUGAAAGGCCCGGGCUCAACCCGCGGACGGCACAUGAUACUGCGAGACUAGAGUAAAGGAGGGGGAACCGGAAUGUUUGGUGUAGCAGUGAAAUGCGUAGAGAUCGAGAGGAACACUCGUGGCGAAGGCGGGUUCCUAGAC
rnacentral:rRNA from 1 species